rnacentral:rRNA from 1 species
AUUGAACGCUGGCGGCAGGCCUAACACAUGCAAGUCGAGCGGAUGAAGGGAGCUUGCUCCUGGAUUCAGCGGCGGACGGGUGAGUAAUGCCUAGGAAUCUGCCUGGUAGUGGGGGAUAACGUCCGGAAACGGGCGCUAAUACCGCAUACGUCCUGAGGGAGAAAGUGGGGGAUCUUCGGACCUCACGCUAUCAGAUGAGCCUAGGUCGGAUUAGCUAGUUGGUGGGGUAAAGGCCUACCAAGGCGACGAUCCGUAACUGGUCUGUGAGGAUGAUCAGUCACACUGGAACUGAGACACGGUCCAGACUCCUAAGGGAGGCAGCAGUGGGGAAUAUUGGACAAUGGGCGAAAGCCUGAUCCAGCCAUGCCGCGUGUGUGAAGAAGGUCUUCGGAUUGUAAAGCACUUUAAGUUGGGAGGAAGGGCAGUAAGUUAAUACCUUGCUGUUUUGACGUUACCAACAGAAUAAGCACCGGCUAACUUCGUG